UAGCAACUUUUAGCAACAAAUCGACCUGCCUUUAGCAACUUCCCCUGAAAAUUAGUUGGCAACACUGCACGGCGGGCAGUUUAGUCAGUUGCAACGUGGUGCAUCAAAUAAAUGCAGGAGAAGUUCUGUUCAAACAUUAACUUGUCUCCGUUUCUUAUUUUAUGAUAUACAAGUGUUUAGGCGAACCCAAUACAAACGCUCUGUUACAUUUCCUAUGUCAAAAGUUCUGGCCCCGGAGGAGUCAAAACAACAGAAAAAAGUUUAGAAAUGCAGACGUCAAAGAAACAUUGUACGCUGUACGUCGUUACGUACAAUUUCAAAUCUUUGUCAAGACUGCCAUGCGCGAGAGAGAGCGCCAAACUGGAAAAUGUAAGCUACUUCUCAGAUUUGAAUCCUGACUCCACUUCAAAGCUUGAAGAGAACUGGGUGCCUGUGUUUAAGAACAAGAUCCUGCACAAUAGAGAGAAGUGGCUCUUCAUCUUCUGUCCAAUGUGUAAACUAUGACAGCAGACAAACAAGUUGACAUCGACUUUCAGGUCCAUAUUGUGCUCUCAGCAUUGGUACAUGAUUGGAAGGAAAAUGUAUGGACCAAGCUUCACAGGAACCAGGAAAGCCUUCACUGACAUGCAGCCUGUAAUUUAACACAGACAUUUCUAAAAUCAUAGAAUUAAAUACUUGCACAUACACAUUUGCAUGGACACAUACCCACUUGUAUGUGUCGCAAACAGUAUGCCAUUGCUCCGCUGUUUCGAACUUUUUUUUGGGCCGGAGCGAAGAUUAAAAAAGAACUUCUCAGUGAGUAUGCCAGGGCCUUUAGGGAAGCCUUUAGAAGGAAAUACAGUAACACUACAAUAAGUUUCUAGGCCUAUUUGUUAACAUAAGAAAAUGCAUUUCUUGCCCUUGAUCCAUCUGCAGAGCACUGUACAGGUACACUACUCAUGUACACGCUUUAUAGAUGACGAGAGAAUUAUUAUUUUUAGGGUGAACUAUUUUAACCACUCUGUGUUCACUGUAAUGCAUUUCAUAAAUUUACAUUAACCCAAAAUAUUGUUAAUUGCUACUUUUAAUGUAGUAAAUGUUAACAAAUACAAAGUUAUUGAAAGUGUUACUGAAAAUAUUAAAUACUUAAGAAGAAGCACUAGUAAAUCAUGAGAACCGUGUCAGAUGCAAUGAUUUUGCUGCUCCUAAAGAUGUGUACUUAAAGCUUUUAAACUUAGUUGAAUUGAUAAUGCAUUGAUACACAGUCAUUUCAGAUUUUACAGGUUGGUUCCAGUGGCUGAUUUCCUGCAUGGUGCAAAAAAUGCCAUUUUUCCAGCAGUCAGUGCUUUCAAGCAUUUGUUUUCAUUCACUGAGAAGCACUUCAACAAAAUACAUUGUGGGGCACAGUGGACAUUUGCUUCAAAGCAUUCUACAUCUUAAAUAUGAAUUAACCCAAACAGAAAAUGUAACCGUUUUGGUUUAUCGCAAAAGAAAUCUGUCCUUAAGCCGUUUCCAUACAGAAAUGUGUGUGUAUCGCUAAUUGUGUACCUUUCGCCUCCCAGUUGUCCCUAUCCCCCCCCCGAAGUCUUUGUAAAAUGGGGAGAGUAUUGAGACAAUUCAUUGAAAUUAGCCAUCUUACUGGCAUUUUAAUUUCACAAAUAAAUGCAAUCAAAGAGGAGGAAUUGCAAUCAAAAGGGAGCAGUUGCCCUUCUGAUAGGACUGUAAUAUUAGUCCUGAUGUUGCGCCUAUCGCAGGUUGCCACCGGUUCCAACCCUAAAGCGAAUCGUCAUGGCCCUGUUCAAGCUGGCAACCUGCACCAUGUAGUGGGGGAAAACUUUCGGUCUCAGUAUAAGGACCAUCCAUCGAUGUGCUGUGUGCACAGCUAUUAAAGAAAUGCGGUGUAAUAUCAGGGUUUACAUAUGAUACAUUCCUUAUAUUCACUAGGCUAUUUUAAACAAUCAUCUAAUCUAAAGCAUUGCCAUCAUAACUGCAUUACGUCCUGCAUAUUUGUCCAGCAACUUUUAACUACCAACUGAAUUUGAUUGUCAUCUAAAAUAAAUUUUAGCGUCAUAAUGAAAUUUACAUUUUCUGAAUUAGCUCAGCAAAUGCGAUCAGAGGUAAAGAGGGUUAGAUUUAAACAUUUUAAAAGUUUAAAAAUGUUCAAAAGCUAGUUUUCUGAAAGUGAACUCAGCAUUGGACAAAAAGUUCUGAUAGUUUAUAGUCUUGAAAAAAAUAGUGUAAAACAUUCUGAGAAUGUCAUUCAGCCGACUUUUUUCUAAUUUAAGUUUGUGUAAAGAAAAGGCAGGUAUAUAGGCCUAACAGUAUAAUUAUUACAGGGAAUUUUGCUGGCAUUUUUUUUUUUUUCAAAAGUAAGCUAAACAAUAAUUUUAUAGAAUUGGGCUAUGUUAGUGUUCCUAAAAAGCACACUGAUGCUUUUCUCCUAGUAUUGUGUAUUAUUAUAAAUUUAAGACAUCUUUGUGCAUGGAAAUGAUAUGUUUUAUGUAUUGUGUGCUAAUUUCAUGACUGUCAACUAUUAUUUUGAAUGGUGUGCAAAAGCAACUUUAAUAAAUGGAUGGCUACCGUGAUUAAUCACAAAGAGUGGCCAUUUAUUUGUUCUCCGUGCACUUGUCGAUGACAGGUGCAUGAUACAAGAUAAUUGUGUUGGCACUCCUGGAAGUGCCAUGACGCAGAUGUGUUUGCAGCAUUGGAUCUGUGCAGGUAUGCCGUUAAGACCAAUCCAUAACAGUGCGAGUAAUGCUUCACGUACAAUUAAUUGGCUUUCAAGGAUGUAUACCUUGUCGUCAUGAUUAACACAGGCUAACCAUUGGGGUAAAUUCUGUCAUGUGACACAUUUUUGCGUUAAUGCCUAUUUUCUCAACAAAAAGUGUUUCCAAACCAGUUUUUCAUGACAUUUGAAGUAUCAACUUCAAUGCGCUAAAGUUAAAUGGAAAAAAUAUUAUGUCGACACUUGUGAAAUUUUAGCGACAGUUACGUUUCCAUCAGCUGUAUCGGUAAAAAUGUUGAUGCGCUACACCUUUUGUCGCAAAAAAAAAAAAAAAAACUUGGAUGGAAACAUGUUAACAGCCCAUGUUGGGUCUUUGAGCACUGGCAGGAUGACAAGGUCAAGAGGAGUCCACACAAGUAGGUGACAACUGUUAGCUCUAGUCAGGUGUAGGUUGCUCUGGAUCUGAUGCCAGUAGUUAUGAGUUUGUUUUAGUGUCAGGGAACCAGCCACUUCAUCCAAAUCCAGAAAAGAAAUUCUCUA